UCUCCGAUUGCAUGACUGUCCGUGUUUUAUGUGAUGUAUAUUUUGUUGAUUAAUGUUAGAUGUUUAUCCUGAUGUAAAGAAACCCGCCUUGGGGCUACAGGUGAAAACCAGCAUUUAGAACGACACAUUCAGCAGAAGUCAUUAGAAUGCUGUUGGAAUUAUACGAAGACUCGGGUGUACAACCAUUGGAGAAGUGAGGACAACAGAUGUG